AUUUUUUCUAGCAGGCAGAUAGAAGUUCCUGUCACUUUCUCCUUUUUUACGGGGUAGGAUGUGAUAUUCCUUCUAGUGGGAAUACCAGUCAAAUGUCCAUGGAUCAUGAAGAAUUACUACGUACUCCUGGAGCCUCUCUCCGGAAGGGAAAAGGGAACUCCUCUAUGGAUAGUGCAGCAGGAUGCAGUGGAACCCCCCCGAUUUGCCGACAAGCCCAGACCAAACUAGAAGUGGCCCUGUACAUGUUUCUGUGGAACCCUGACACUGAAGCUGUUCUGGUUGCCAUGUCCUGUUUCCGCCACCUCUGUGAGGAAGCAGAUAUCCGGUGUGGGGUGGAUGAAGUGUCAGUGCAUAACCUCUUGCCCAACUAUAACACAUUCAUGGAGUUUGCCUCUGUCAGCAAUAUGAUGUCAACAGGAAGAGCAGCACUUCAGAAAAGAGUAAUGGCACUGCUGAGGCGCAUUGAGCAUCCCACUGCAGGAAACACUGAGGCUUGGGAAGAUACACAUGCAAAAUGGGAACAAGCAACAAAACUAAUCCUUAACUAUCCAAAAGCCAAAAUGGAAGAUGGCCAGGCUGCUGAAAGCCUUCACAAGACCAUUGUUAAGAGGCGAAUGUCCCAUGUGAGUGGAGGAGGAUCCAUAGAUUUGUCUGACACAGACUCCCUACAGGAAUGGAUCAACAUGACUGGCUUCCUUUGUGCCCUUGGGGGAGUGUGCCUCCAGCAGAGAAGCAAUUCUGGCCUGGCAACCUAUAGCCCACCCAUGGGUCCAGUCAGUGAACGUAAGGGUUCUAUGAUUUCAGUGAUGUCCUCAGAGGGAAACGCAGAUACACCUGUCAGCAAAUUUAUGGAUCGGCUGUUGUCCUUAAUGGUGUGUAACCAUGAGAAAGUGGGACUUCAAAUACGGACCAAUGUUAAGGAUCUGGUGGGUCUAGAAUUGAGUCCUGCUCUGUAUCCAAUGCUAUUUAACAAAUUGAAGAAUACCAUCAGCAAGUUUUUUGACUCCCAAGGACAGGUAAAGUGUUCUCUUAUUUUUCACCUUUCCCUAUGAAUAGAGUGACUUGUUUGAAAUAAGCCUUUUUCUUUCAGAUUAUUUAAAUUAGGUACUCACAGUUUUUAAAAAUUUCCAAAAAAUUGCAGAAAGAAGAGUCAUCUCAAUGUAGGGGUCAGCUUGCCUCUUAGGAACUCUGGUGUGUAUGCGUGCCUAAGGGUAUACAUGCCCUGUGUAUGGGUACGAGUGUCUGCGUAUAUCUGUAUGCUUAUUUGGCUCUGUGCCUGUGGGUGCACUUACUCUGUGUGUUUAGAUCAGUCAGUUUCAUCUCUCUAGGGGGUCUGUCUUCUGGGCAUUGAUGACAAAUCAUUAAUGUAUUUGUUCUUUCUUUAGGUUUUAUUGACUGAUACCAAUACUCAAUUUGUAGAACAAACCAUAGCUAUAAUGAAGAACUUGCUAGAUAAUCAUACUGAAGGCAGCUCUGAACAUCUAGGGCAAGCUAGCAUUGAAACAAUGAUGUUAAAUCUGGUCAGGUAUGUUCGUGUGCUUGGGAAUAUGGUCCAUGCAAUUCAAAUAAAAACGAAACUGUGUCAAUUAGUUGAAGUAAUGAUGGCAAGGAGAGAUGACCUCUCAUUUUGCCAAGAGAUGAAAUUUAGGAAUAAGAUGGUAGAAUACUUGACAGACUGGGUUAUGGGGACAUCAAACCAAGCAGCAGAUGAUGAUGUAAAAUGUCUUACAAGAGAUUUGGACCAGGCAAGCAUGGAAGCAGUAGUUUCACUUCUAGCUGGUCUCCCUCUGCAGCCUGAAGAAGGAGAUGGUGUGGAAUUGAUGGAAGCCAAAUCGCAGUUAUUUCUUAAAUACUUCACAUUAUUUAUGAACCUUUUGAAUGACUGCAGUGAAGUUGAAGAUGAAAGUGCACAAACAGGUGGCAGGAAACGUGGCAUGUCUCGGAGGCUGGCAUCACUGAGGCACUGUACAGUCCUUGCAAUGUCAAACUUACUCAAUGCCAACGUAGACAGUGGUCUCAUGCACUCCAUAGGCUUAGGUUACCACAAGGAUCUCCAGACAAGAGCUACAUUUAUGGAAGUUCUGACAAAAAUCCUUCAACAAGGCACAGAAUUUGACACACUUGCAGAAACGGUAUUGGCUGAUCGGUUUGAGAGAUUGGUGGAACUGGUCACAAUGAUGGGUGAUCAAGGAGAACUCCCUAUAGCGAUGGCUCUGGCCAAUGUGGUUCCUUGUUCUCAGUGGGAUGAACUAGCUCGAGUUCUGGUUACUCUGUUUGAUUCUCGGCAUUUACUCUACCAACUGCUCUGGAACAUGUUUUCUAAAGAAGUAGAAUUGGCAGACUCCAUGCAGACUCUCUUCCGAGGCAACAGCUUGGCCAGUAAAAUAAUGACAUUCUGUUUCAAGGUAUAUGGUGCUACCUAUCUACAAAAACUCCUGGAUCCUUUAUUACGAAUUGUGAUCACAUCCGCUGAUUGGCAACAUGUUAGCUUUGAAGUGGAUCCUACCAGGUUAGAACCAUCAGAGAGCCUUGAGGAAAACCAGCGGAACCUCCUUCAGAUGACUGAAAAGUUCUUCCAUGCCAUCAUCAGUUCCUCUUCAGAAUUCCCCCCUCAACUUCGAAGUGUGUGCCACUGUUUAUACCAGGUGGUUAGCCAGCGUUUCCCUCAGAACAGCAUCGGUGCAGUAGGAAGUGCCAUGUUCCUCAGAUUUAUCAAUCCUGCCAUUGUCUCACCGUAUGAAGCAGGGAUUUUAGAUAAAAAGCCACCACCUAGAAUCGAAAGAGGCUUGAAGUUAAUGUCAAAGAUACUUCAGAGUAUUGCCAAUCAUGUUCUCUUCACAAAAGAAGAACAUAUGCGGCCUUUCAAUGAUUUUGUGAAAAGCAACUUUGAUGCAGCACGAAGGUUUUUCCUUGAUAUAGCAUCUGAUUGUCCUACAAGUGAUGCAGUAAAUCAUAGUCUUUCCUUCAUCAGUGACGGCAAUGUGCUUGCUUUACAUCGUCUACUCUGGAACAAUCAGGAGAAAAUUGGCCAGUAUCUUUCCAGCAACAGGGAUCAUAAAGCUGUUGGAAGACGACCUUUUGAUAAGAUGGCAACACUUCUUGCAUACCUGGGUCCUCCAGAGCACAAACCUGUGGCAGAUACACACUGGUCCAGCCUUAACCUUACCAGUUCAAAGUUUGAGGAAUUUAUGACUAGGCAUCAGGUACAUGAAAAAGAAGAAUUCAAAGCUUUGAAAACGUUAAGUAUUUUCUACCAAGCUGGGACUUCCAAAGCUGGGAAUCCUAUUUUUUAUUAUGUUGCACGGAGGUUCAAAACUGGUCAAAUCAAUGGUGAUUUGCUGAUAUACCAUGUCUUACUGACUUUAAAGCCAUAUUAUGCAAAGCCAUAUGAAAUUGUAGUGGACCUUACCCAUACCGGGCCUAGCAAUCGCUUUAAAACAGACUUUCUCUCUAAGUGGUUUGUUGUUUUUCCUGGCUUUGCUUACGACAACGUCUCCGCAGUCUAUAUCUAUAACUGUAAUUCCUGGGUCAGGGAGUACACUAAGUAUCAUGAGCGGCUGCUGACUGGCCUCAAAGGUAGCAAAAGGCUUGUUUUCAUAGACUGUCCUGGGAAACUGGCUGAGCACAUAGAGCAUGAACAACAGAAACUACCUGCUGCCACCUUGGCUUUAGAAGAGGACCUGAAGGUAUUCCACAAUGCUCUCAAGCUAGCUCACAAAGACACCAAAGUUUCUAUUAAAGUUGGUUCUACUGCUGUCCAAGUAACCUCAGCAGAGCGAACAAAAGUCCUAGGGCAAUCAGUCUUUCUAAAUGACAUUUAUUAUGCUUCGGAAAUUGAAGAAAUCUGCCUAGUAGAUGAGAACCAGUUCACCUUAACGAUUGCAAACCAGGGCACACCGCUCACCUUCAUGCACCAGGAGUGUGAAGCCAUUGUCCAGUCUAUCAUUCAUAUCCGGACUCGCUGGGAACUGUCACAGCCCGACUCUAUCCCCCAACACACCAAGAUUCGGCCAAAAGAUGUCCCUGGGACACUGCUCAAUAUCGCAUUACUUAAUUUAGGCAGUUCUGACCCGAGUUUACGGUCAGCUGCCUAUAAUCUUCUGUGUGCCUUAACUUGUACCUUUAAUUUAAAAAUCGAGGGCCAGUUACUAGAGACAUCAGGUUUAUGUAUUCCUGCCAACAACACCCUCUUUAUUGUCUCUAUUAGUAAGACACUGGCAGCCAAUGAGCCACACCUUACAUUAGAAUUUUUGGAAGAGUGUAUUUCUGGAUUUAGCAAAUCUAGUAAGUAAUGAUAAUUUUCUUUAAUACUAACAAUUAUUCUAAGAGAAUUCAAAGAAAACCCUUUCAUUUCAGAAUUUGCCAGUGAAGCCUUUCACUUAUAUUUUUACUUUUUUUCCUCUUCUGGUUUUAUAUCUGUGGUAUCCUGUAACUGAAGGAACUCUGAAGGAACUUUUUGGUAGGCCACAUUGAGAAAUCCACCAAAAUUCUGAUAAUAAAAGCAAAGCGGCAAGAGUUUGGUACUUUACACACCUCUGGAACACUUACAAAGUAUUUUCUUCACUGUUACAGUUUAAUUAGCUUCAGCAUUUCUCUUCAUAGUAGAAAAGUCCACAUAAGUAUCCAUGUUGCCUCCUUAAUUUUAGAGAACUAGUCAUUUUCUCUUUUCUUUAAGUUGACUUUGAACAAUGAAUUUAUUGUAAAUGUACAGUUCACGGAGAGCACAGUGGCACAUAAUACAGGGCCCAGAGUCAGUUCUGACUUGGUUUUAACUAAGUCUCAUAAAUUUAAUAUCCACUCUUUAUAUUUGUCCAUCUUUAUAUCCUAUAGUUUUAUAAAUGUUGAUCUUCUCCCAGCAUAUUUCCUGACCUUUUCUUCCCUUUCCUUUCCCUGUAAUACAUAAAACUUUUUUUUCUGCAUUCAAACACAUUUCUUGACUUUUCUAAGAUAAUUAAAAGCUUCAGCAAUUCACUGAGACUCUUUGUCAGGUAAGAGAUGUAGAACUAUAACCCUGACAAAAAAAAGUGUAGGACUGACAAAACAAGAAAGUAUAAACUUUAUUGAUAUAUAUUAAUAUGAGAGAAGAUUUGAGUGAAUGUAAAGGCAUAUUGUGUUCCUGCAUGAACAGUUCUUCCCAGAUUAUUACAAAUUUAAUGUAAUUUCAUCAAAAUAACCAUAGGAUUUGAGGAUUGAGAAUGGAGAUAGAACUUAAAUGAUUCUAAAUUCUACAUAAAAGUGCAAUAAUAGCUAAGAAAAUAUUGAAAGGAAGGAGACUUGAGACUUAACAGUACAGAUGUCUGAACACUUUAUAGCAGUACAAUAAUUAAAACAUACGUGUGCAAGAAUCAGCCAUCAGAUCAGUUUAAGAGAAACAGAUUGAUAAAGAAGCAUCACAAACUGAUGAGGGAGAGAUUAAAUCAUUUAAGAAAUGAGGUUGGGAAAUGACUUAAAUUAGGUCUUCAUCUUCACCAUACACCAUAAGAUACCAAGUAUGUUCUGCCUAUAUUUAAGAGUUGAGUAGGGAGGGCUGUGUGUGGUGGCUCUCGCCUGUAAUCCCAGCACUUUGGGAGGUUGAGGCAAGAGGAUUGUGGCAGGAGGAUUGCUUGAGCCCCAGAGGUCAGGGCUAUAGUGAGCUAUCAUCGUACCACUGCACUCCAGCCUGGAUGAUAGAGUGAGGCCCUUCUCUAUU
rnacentral:sRNA from 1 species